AUGUACAUAUUAGCUUAAUCAUAUUGGUAAAUGUAUAAUAAAAUGAAAAUAUCUCUCAUCAAACUGUUUUUCCUGUUUCACUUUUUAUUCCAUACAUCCCUAGAACCACUUAACUAUUAAUCAGGUAUAGCAUAUGGUCCCACAAGAAAAAAAUUAGUGAUGGAUUUGAUUGGUUGGUUGAAAGCUCUACUAAUCAACACAUUCCCCUUAAACUUAAUAAUAGCCACAUUUUACGUGUCAAUCUUUCCAUGUCUUUGAGUUCGCGAAAGAUAGGUUAUGACUUAUACAGAACAUACAAUUUCUUAGGAAUUUAGUUAUUUAUGUGCUUAUAUUGCUUUUAUUUUAAUUUAAGCAUCUUUAUGUUACUAUAUAUUGACAUGACUCAUUUAGGCCAUAAAAUUUCUUUUCCAUGGUGUUAUAUUUAUUUAUGGUAUCAUUGUGUCAUAUUUUAAAUUUCCUUUAUAUGGGUUGCACUUUUACUUUCAAGAAACUACUGCAAUAAAGCAGUCCACAUACUACUGUUCACAUUCAGUUAUAUUCAUGAAAAUAUUUUUCAUCUUAUUUUUGCCAUAUCUAUAGCUACACUUUUAUAAUUGUCAAAUAAAGUGUGUGUGUGUUUAUAGGUAUACUUAGAAUCCCUGAUGAAAAGUAAGAUAGGGAGAUAAAAAUAAGAGACUUUGGACAUUAUACAAUACAAAAGUAACCUUAAACACCAACUCUAACAUACCCACUGUACCCUUUUCUUUGCUUCUCCUGUUUUUAGACUUUAUUUUUGUAUAGUGAUGGGGACUAAACAAGCUCCUUGAGCAUAUGAGGUAAGCACUGUAUUCUAAGCUCCAUCCCCAGCUGUGGUGGGGCCCAAGCCGAGGACAUUACCUUAGACUGCUUCCACCCUAAAGUGUUGGCCUAAAAUCUUGUCCUGUGUUUUACUGUUUAGUACUAUAAUUAAAGGCAACUGAAAUCCUGUUACAUACAUGCCAUUCCACAAUUCUCUUUUCUGGUACAUUUAAAAUCCUCUUUGAAGGAAGAAACAUUCUAUUUUCUCAGAGGCUUAAGCCUGUUCUUAUAUUAUUUCCACACAAAUAUUAAACUUGCUAGAUUUCCUAAACCAUUAUACUAUACAAAAUGGAGAAUGAAGUAUAUGUACCUUUCUGAAUGAGGAAGGCAUGAUAAGUAAUUUAAACCUGUAUCAUGUAGGAAUUGAUUCAUUCUUCUACACAGCUAUAAUCCACUUGGUAGGGACCACGAAUGGGUGAUAAAUAAUUUAACUGAUCUUUUAUUAGUUUUAGGUUCUGCAUUCCACAUAAGCUGUAGUGAUUUCUGUAAAUAGAGUAUAAUCAUCACCAUUUGAAAAUGUGUUCCAUAAUAUACAAUAAUUUUUAAGUUGUAGAAUUUAAAUAAUAUAACAAUACUUGUAGGAUAUUUAAGAAAUUUUUAAGAAUAAUUUUCUUCUCCAAAAUAAUCUACCAACUGAGAAUAUUAAUCUUCACAAAUUUUGAACUUUAGGGACUGAGAAUAUUUUAGUAUUUUAUUUUAGACCUUUGUAUAAUAAGUACUGUCUAAUAUGUUGUACAGUAUAGCCAUUCAUCAAGUUAUAUAUGUGUAUGCUUCUUUAUAUCUAGAGAAAUAGCAAAAAGGAGAAAAAGAAAGUGUUAUUUCUUGUUAUCCAUGAGAGAUUUGUUGUAGGACCCUGCAGAUACAAAACUUCCUACUUGCUCAUGUCUCAUAAGGUGGUACAAUAUUUGCAUAAUCUACAUAUAUCUUUCUAUGUAUUUCCUUCCUACAAUAAGCAUUUCUGAAUAACUUAGAAAUUAUAAUUCUGUAUAAAUAGUUGUUAAACUGUUCUUAAGAAAUAAUGGCAAGAAACAUAUCUGUACAUGUUUGAUAUAAUUUUUCAUGAAUAUUUUUUAUCCAUACCUUGAAUCUAAGAAUAUGGAACCUACAGCUCAUGAAAAGAGCUACUAUUCUAGUCAUACAAUUUAUAUAUAAUUUAAAUAAACACUUUAUUUAUUUAAUAAUGUCUUUUUUAAAAAAUGUGCAUACACUAGCCAGGUGUUGGUGAUACACCUUUAAUCCCAGAAGGAGGUGAUUUUCUGAGUUUGAGGCCAACCUAGUCUACAGAGCAAGUCCCACGACAGCCAAAGCUGCAGAGAGAAACCCU
rnacentral:lncRNA from 1 species